UCAUAAGGAAGAUCUUAAGAGGGACUUCGAGGCAUUUUCCACGGAAGUAGGGGCCAUGAAAUUACUCUACCUUCUCAUCUCUGUUGUUCUCUUGAUUUCUCAAGUCAUGGCAGCUCCUGAAGGCUGUAAACAGGAAGGACAGACUGAGUGGAAAGAUUUUGUACGGAAGAAAGGUGCCUUCAUCCACUUCUUCAACAACGACUAUGGGCACCAUUACUGUGACUCUCCUACAAGCGUCUGCCUGAGGAGGAGAACAAACUGUACUCGUCUGCCGGGGUUGUGUCCUGGCAGGAGCUUCUGCUGUGUGAGAACAUGACCUGAGAAAUUUACCUUCCCCAUCCUUCCUGAAUAAAACCAGAACACUGAAACCCUCAA